CCUACGGGUGGCAGCAGUGAGGAAUAUUGGACAAUGGGCGUAAGCCUGAACCAGCCAAGCCGCGUGAGUGAUGAAGGUUCUAUGGAUCGUAAACCUCUUUUAUAAGGAAAUAAAGUGUGGGACGUGUCCUAUUUUGUAUGUACCUUAUGAAUAAGGAUCGGCUAAAUACGUUCCAGCAGCCGCGGUAAUACGGAGGGUACGAGCGUUAUCCGGAUUUAUUGGGUUUAAAGGGUGCGUAGGCGGGCUUGUAAGUCAGCGGUGAAAGGCUGUGGCUCAACCAGAGAAUUGCCGUUGAAACUGGGGGGCUUGAGUGUGUUAGAGGCAGGGGGAAUGCGGGGUGUAGCGGUGAAAUGCGUAGAUAUCAGGCAGAACACCGGUUGCGAAGGCGGCCUGCUAGGCAAUGACUGACGCUGAGGCACGAAAGCGUGGGGAUCAAACAGGAUUAGAUACCCCUGUAGUC
rnacentral:rRNA from 1 species